rnacentral:ncRNA from 1 species
GGACAAGUGACUAAGUGCACAUGGUGGAUGCCUUGGCGAUAUCAGGCGAUGAAGGACGUAGUAGCUUGCGAAAAGCUGCGGGGAGCUGGCAAACAAGCUUUGAUCCGCAGAUGUCCGAAUGGGGAAACCCGGCCAGCAAUGGUCACUCAGAAAUGAGAGCAAACCUGGAGAACUGAAACAUCUAAGUACCCAGAGGAAAAGAAAUCAACCGAGAUUCCGAAAGUAGUGGCGAGCGAAAUGGGAAGAGCCUGCAAGAUUUAGCACCUUUGAUAAUAAAACGGAUUGGAAACUCCGGCCAUAGAGGGUGAUAGCCCCGUAUAUGAAAUCAUCGGUGUGGAACUAAGUUUGCGACA